CAGUAGGGAGGAAGGUAGUGUAGUUAACACCUGCAUUAUUUGACGUUACCUACAGAAGAAGCACCGGCUAACUCCGUGCCAGCAGCCGCGGUAAUACGGAGGGUGCGAGCGUUAAUCGGAAUUACUGGGCGUAAAGCGCAUGCAGGCGGCCUGUUAAGUCAGAUGUGAAAGCCCGGGGCGUUAACCUCGGAAUUGCAUUUGAAACUGGCAGGCUAGAGUCUUGUAGAGGGGGGUAGGAAUUUCAGGUGUAGCGGUGAAAUGCGUAGAGAUCUGAAGGAAUACCAGUGGCGAAGGCGGCCCCCUGGACAAAGACUGACGCUCAGAUGCGAAAGCGUGGGGAGCAAACAGGAUUAGAUACCCUGGUAG
rnacentral:rRNA from 1 species